GUCUUGAUGUAGAAAGCAGCUGUUCAUGUGUUCAACUGGCUCCCUCUGCUGACUGAAAAUUAGAAAUACUAACUGAGCUUUUGUAUGCAUUUACUGUGGAAUCUGUAACUGAAAUGCAUGUCUUAAAAAGGAACUUGGGAAUGUGCUGACCUGCAGAGCUGCCGUGGACUCCUCACUGGGCAGAGAGUCGAUGAGUACAUCCACGUCUUUGGCUGUUCUGGCAAUCAGAGCUGCAAACA